AAUGUAUUGUCUAAAUUUUCUAUCCUUACACUUUGAUUGUUAGUGAAGAAACUUUUGGGGAAUUAUUACUCUGAGAUACUC